UACGGAGGGUGCAAGCGUUGUUCGGAAUUACUGGGCGUAAAGCGCGUGUAGGCGGCCUUGCAAGUCAGACGUGAAAGCCCUCGGCUUAACCGGGGAAGUGCGUCUGAAACUGCUUGGCUUGAGUACGGGAGAGGGAGGCGGAAUUCCCAGUGUAGAGGUGAAAUUCGUAGAUAUUGGGAGGAACACCGGUGGCGAAAGCGGCCUCCUGGACCGAUACUGACGCUGAGACGCGAGAGCGUGGGGAGCAAACAGG
rnacentral:rRNA from 2 species